rnacentral:rRNA from 1 species
UACGUAGGGUGCAAGCGUUGUCCGGAAUUAUUGGGCGUAAAGAGCUCGUAGGCGGUUUGUCGCGUCGAAUGUGAAAACCCCGGGGCUCAACCCCGGGCCUGCAUUCGAUACGGGCAGACUAGAGUUCGGUAGGGGGUACGUCGUGAAUUCCUGGUGUAGCGGUGAAAUGCGCAGAUAUCAGGAGGAACACCGGUGGCGAAGGCGGGACUCUGGGCCGGAACUGACGCUGAGGAGCGAAAGCGUGGGGAGCGAACAGG